GCUUGUCUCAAAGAUUAAGCCAUGCAUGUCUUAGUGUAAAUAACUCUUAUGAAACUGCGAAUGGCUCAUUAAAUCAGUUAUCGUUUAUUUGAUGAUCUCUUACUACUUGGAUAACCGUAGUAAUUCUAGAGCUAAUACAUGCACAAAAUCCCGACUUACGAAGGGAUGUAUUUAUUAGAUACAAACCAACAUCGUGGUGAUUCAUAAUAACUUUUCGAAUCGCAUGGCUUCACGCCGGCGAUAGUUCAUUCAAAUUUCUGCCCUAUCAGCUUUCGACGGUAGUGUAGUGGACUACCGUGGCGUUAACGGGUAACGGAGAAUUAGGGUUCGAUUCCGGAGAGGGAGCCUGAGAAACGGCUACCACAUCUAAGGAAGGCAGCAGG
rnacentral:rRNA from 1 species